UACGGGGGGGCAAGCGUUGUUCGGAAUUACUGGGCGUAAAGGGCUCGUAGGCGGCCAACUAAGUCAGACGUGAAAUCCCUCAGCUUAACUGGGAACUGCGUCUGAUACUGGAUGGCUUGAGAUUGGGAGAGGGAUGCGGAAUUCCAGGUGUAGCGGUGAAAUGCGUAGAUAUCUGGAGGAACACCGGUGGCGAAGGCGGCAUCCUGGACCAAUUCUGACGCUGAGGAGCGAAAGCCAGGGAGCAAGCGGG
rnacentral:rRNA from 1 species